rnacentral:lncRNA from 1 species
AUUACUAUGCAAAAGAGGGAUACAGGUAGAAAACAUUCGGUCAGAAGGAAGUGAGCGAACUGCCCCACCCGCUUCUCCACCAGGAAGCCUGUCCAAGGGGUGCUGAGAAUCAGAGCAGCAAAACUCAGGGCAAAGUUCAGCUGCUGUGGAAGAGAUUCAUUCCAUCGUGGCCAUGGAAUGCAAAGACAAGUCGGAGGGGACUGGGGACAGGUGCAGGGAUGGGGUGUGGUCGGGUGGCUGGGAGAGGAUUCGAGAGGAAGCCCAGGAAGGAAGGCCCUGGAGCAAGACUGACUGGAGCCAGAUGCCCGCUGGGAUGCCUCCAAACCCCAAAGCAUUGAGCACUGAGCCUCAGUCGUCCAGGGCGGCCGGGGGAGCAUCCCGGGAGGUGGGGACUGGCCAGCUGGUUGCUCACUUGCUGAGGUAGACGCUGAAGACGGGGCUGGUGAGGGCGCCCUCCUGCACCAUGCCCUGCAUAGCUGUGGUGGCCUCAUCCACGGACAGAUCAGGGUGUCAUAGCCAAAGAAGCCGGUGAGGCUGCCACUGCCAUACUGCAGGGAGAAGGUCUGCCCAUUGGUGGAGUAGGUCACGCUGAGGUCACCAAAGCGGUACUUCCAAGCAGGAUCAUACUUGUGGGUCCUCAGGAACUCCCCCAGCAAGCCCUUCUCCUUCAUGGUCUCACGGA